AACUGAAGACGGAGAACUUCUUCAUCCAGAAUCUAGAUCCACAGCAAUCAUGACUUUCAUCAGCAUCUUUAUCUGGAUGUUCACUAGCUACUGUUUUAGAGAAUCCAGAUGUGCAGUGACAGUCACUCAAACACCUGCAGUGAAAUCUGUUCAUCUUGGAGACACAUUUACUAUCAGCUGUAAAACCAGUCCUGAAGUUUAUCAGGGUUGGGGUAAUCAGCCUCUUGCCUGGUAUCAGCAGAAACCUGGAGAAGCUCCUAAACUCCUCAUAUAUGCUGCAACAAACCGCUACACCGGAACUCCAUCUAGAUUCAGUGGCAGUGGAUCUAAAAGUGAUUUCAGUUUGACCAUCAGUGGAGUCCAGACUGAAGAUGCAGGACAUUAUUACUGUCAGAGUGUACACGUCAUCAGUGGCAGUUAUGUGUUCACACAGUGA